AUGGCGAGCAGCAGCGGAUCCAAGGCCGAAUUUAUUGUUUGAGGGAAAUAUAAACUAGUAAGGAAGAUCAGGUCUGGCUCCUUCUGGGACCUUUAUCUGGCCAUCGAUAUCACCAAUGGCGAGCAAGUGGCAGUGAAGCUAGAAUCUCAAAAGGCCAGGCAUCCCCAGUUGCUGUAGGAAAGCAAACUCUGUGAGAUUCUUCAAGGCAGGCUUGGCAUCCCCCACAUACCGUGGUAUGAUCAGGAAAAAGACUGCAAUGUACCAGUCAUAGACCUUCCGGGACCUAGCCUCGAAGACCUCUUCAAUUUCUCUUCAAGAAGGUUCACAAUGAAAACUGUGCUUAUGUUAGCUGACCAGACAAUCAAUAAAAUUGAGUAUGUGCAUACAAACAAUUUUAUACAUAGAGACGUUAAACCAGAUAACUCCCUAAAGGUAUUGGACACCACUGUAGUAAGUUAUUCCGUAUUGAUUCUGGUUUGGUCAAAAAAUACAGCAACAGCAGGACAAGGCAACGCAUACUGUGCAGGUAAUAUAAAAAUCUCACUAGCACUGCCCGACGUGCCAGCAUCAAUGCACAUCUUGGUAUCGAGCAGAGUCACAGAGAUGAUAUGGAAUCCUUAGGCUGUUUUGAUGUGUUUUAACAGAACCAGCUUGCCAUGGCAAGGACUUAGGUCCGCAACAAAGAAACAAAAAUAUGAAAAGAUUAGUGAAAAGAAGAUGCCCACUCCUGUUGAAGUUUUAUGUAAGGGGUUUCCUGCAGAAUUUGCCAUGUGCUUAAACUAUAAUCGCGGGCUACACUUUGAGGAAGUCCCGGAUGAGGUGUAUCUCAGACAGCUAUUCCGCAUUCUUUCGAGGACCCUGAACCACCAAUACGACUAAACAUUUUAUUGGACAAUGUGAAAGUUGAAAGUAGCGCAGCAGACAGCCUCUUCCAGUGGGCAGGGUCAGCAGGCCCAAACCCCCACUGGU
rnacentral:lncRNA from 1 species